rnacentral:snoRNA from 1 species
CCCGGCCCUCAUCGAAGCCGCCGCAGCUCCGCCAUAGCUGUGACGGUCAGAAAGGAGCCCAGAGCGACAGUUUCCCGACGGUCGUCGUUCUGCCGGACCCCGUGGUAGGACGGCAACAUUAUGGGAAAAGACAAGC